rnacentral:lncRNA from 1 species
UGGGAAAAAAAAAUAAUUUCAGAACUCUUAGCUGAUUUUCUGAAAUGCAUUAAUAUAUCAUUAGCAAAGUAAUUGUUAGAUCCUUUGUUAAAAUGCAGCUGUAGCAUGUAACUCUGAGUCAUGUGGAAGCAGUGACUUUUUGAGGAACAGUCUUAAAAGUGUGGUGAGGCACUUGUACAGGUUGCCCAUGGAGGUGGUGGGUGCCCCAUACCUGAAAUCUUUCAAGGUCAGGUUGGACUGGGCUUAGAGAAACCUGAUCUAGUUGAAGAUGUCCCAGCUCAUUCCAGUGGGUGUUGGACUAGAUGGCCUUUAAAUAUCUCUUCUAUGUCAAACCAUUCUAUGAUUCUAUGAAAGCAAACAGAAGAGACAGUUUUACUGUGUCACGAAAUAAUUCUGUUGAAAAUGGUUGCUACAAUACCAAGCAAAGGACAAUGCUCUGUGUUGAACAGAUAUUUCUCUUGUUAGGAAACCACAUGAGUUCCUUCUACCUUUUUCAGUAGCUUUUUAAUUUAAAAUAGUUAAAUAUUUGUACAGAAUUUAGUAAAAUUCUCUGUAAAUCUUUCCAAGAGCAGCAAGCUUCUUAAUCUCCCAUUUUAUUAUAAAUGUCAUGUACCAUUUAUUCAAUACUUAUUGACUGAAACAUAAAAGCUUUGAUGUUUUUCUGUCAUCUGCACGUUGUAUUAAUUAGUGCAAUCUAUCACUUUCCGUGAUUUCAGCAAGGUUGGGUAGAUUUUGGGGUGGAACGAGCAUCGGCUUUGGAAACGCAGCUGCUGCUUCCCCGCACUGGCACUGAAGUCCAAUGCUUCCCUCCAGUGGUGAAACGUCUUCUUACAUGACUCACAAUUUUCAUCAACUAUGGAAAAAUAGCCAUUUUGCAGCAUCUGCUAACGUUCAGGGGCAUCACCUUGCCUGUCUAUUUAGAAGCUCACAUUGUGGUGGUGCCUUGCUCUUUGCACUGACUGUGGAGGAGAUCUGGAUGGGAAGAAAUCUACUUCUUGGAUAG